rnacentral:lncRNA from 1 species
UUUAGCAAACCCAUUAUACUUGAAAAGUUUCAUUUACAUUUCUACUACUUCAGAUAAUCACACGUCCUCUUGGUCGAGAUUGCAACUUUUUCGCUCUUGUCAUUUUUCCUUUUCCUUCUUCUUUGUGCAGUACCUUACUUUCUCCACACCUAUCUCUUUCCAAAAAGUCAUUACUCAAAGAGAGAAUAGUAUUUUAGAGAUUAGCUCAUCAAAAUAAAAGAAACAAUUAGGCAACAGAGUUUCUUCUUUUCGUUUCUUAUCGAUUUGUUAUUGUUCAAUGUCAUUGAUUGAAGUGAAAACUGGACAAACAAAGCAUAAUAGGGGCAUGAAAAAAAAGUAAGUCUCCAUACUGGAUUCAUGAAAUUGGAUUCCUGAUUGUUGAUUAAUUUUUAAAGUUUCUCUGUGGGUGGAUUUGGUUAGUUUUUUCUCUGUUUCUUCAUGAUGAGCAUAUAAAUAUUCAGUCCUAUCUUUUUAGAGACUAUUAACUUACAAUGCUCUAUUUUGGUCUAAAAAUUAUAUCUUUGCUUUAAUUUCUUUAUCAUAGAAAUGUAUGUGAUUUUUGAAAAUUGAUUCCCCCCCACCCCUCCUUCUUGAUGUUUUUCUUGGUGAAUUUUGGUCAUGUAUGUAGUUAUUUGUUAAAUCCUCUAUGAAAGCACACGUAAAUUUCAUCGUAAACAAUUGAAGAAAAUAUUAGUAACAAGAGGGAAGAACUUUGAUGCAGGAAAAAUGUAUGAUAAUUAGCCUGAAUCAACUGUACAAUUUUUUUCAUUCUUUUUGUAAUUUGUUUAUAGCAUAAACUUCUUUCAUUCAACGAAAAAGUAUAUUUUACUCUCACUAGAGAGAAUUAUUGAAUAAUAUUUUAUGCAUUAUAUAUCCUUCUGUUAAUUUACCAUGAGUUGAAAGCUAAUUAAUGACUGGUUCAAAACUACUACUUUUGGCUAGCAUAUAAUUAAACGUGAGUUGACAUUACAAUUUUACCCAUUAAGAGUGAGUUCGCCAUAUGAUUGUGCAAGCAGAUACGGUACACCUUAUAAAAAUUAAAAUAUAUUACCAUAACCAAAAGAGUUCUAUGAAAUACCUAGCAAGUUGUAUUACAAAUAAAGUAUAAUAAAAAAAUAUGAAAAAUAAUACCUAAGAAUAAUCAUUAUGUACACAUAGAAAAAGUAUCUUAGUGAGAGAAUAAGGAAUCAAAAACCAAAAAAUAACAGUCAUGGAAAAAAAAUAGGGAUCUUAGGAUGAAGAAGUAUGCAAUACACGUGUUCAUAAGAGAAGGGCAUAAAAGAGGUCCAAGUUCAUCGAAUGAAAGAGGCUCAAGCUUUUAAGGCACAAUUCAGAUAAUAUUUUAUACAACAUAUUGUAUUAUAGAAAUAAAAUCAUUGAACAAUGCUAAAUUAAAGAGCCAAAGUUUAGGAUAACGUUUACAUUUAUCAAGUUGGGGAAUUAUUAGUGGUUGAGCACAUAUCACAAAUAUUUGAAAAACUAAAAUGCAAAAAAAAUUAGUUGAUGAAAAAAAGGUAGUUUAACCCAUCAGAAAAAUAAUGGUGCAACAACCUCUAUUUACUGUUUUCAUUAUGGAUAGAUCGACUUGUCGAUAGAACAUAAUCAUGGGUAAAAGGGGUUGAUUCAGCGAGAAUAAUUCAGAGAUUUAACCAAAUUUAUUACAGAAAUAAUUUAUUAGAAAUAUUUACCAGUUAUUUUUAUAUAAAUAUUCAAGUCAAAAUUUUGUAAUCUGAAUCAGAAUCUCAUAAGUGUUAUAAUUGAAGUAGACAUUACAUUCGGCAUUAACUUUCACAACCUAAAAAUAUCAUAUUUUUAUUCAUAAAUUCUUCAAAAUAUAUCACAUGCAGGAAUAAAUCAUAAAUUGGUGUACUUCUUUGUUAUACUUGAAAAGUUUCAUUUACAUUGCUACUGAUUCAGAUAAUCACACAUCCUCUUGGUCGAGAUGAGUGUUUCAGAUAUUAGAUGGUCAAAAGAAAAGGAGCAAUUAGGCAGCAGUAUUUUGUUUAUCGAUUUGUUAUUUUUCGAUGUCAUUGGUUGAAGUGAAAAGCAGACAAAUAUGUGCAAGCCUCCGUACAGGAUUUAUGAAAUUGGAUUCCUGAUUCUUAAUUAAUUUUCAAACUUUCUUUUGGGUGGAUUUUGUUAGUUUUUUCUCUGUUUCUUCCUGAUGAGCAUAUGAAUGUUCACUUCUAUCUUUUUAGAGACUAGAUUACAAUGUUCUUUUUGCUUCUAAAAAUUAUAUUUUUGCUUCAAUUUUCUUUUAUAAUAUACAUUUAUAUAAUUUUUGACAUUUAAUCCCCCCCCCCCCCUUCCUUUUUCNNNNNNNNNNNNNNNNNNNNNNNNNNNNNNNNNNNNNNNNNNNNNNNNNNNNNNNNNNNNNNNNNNNNNNNNNNNNNNNNNNNNNNNNNNNNNNNUUUAACCCCCCCCCCCCCUUACUUUUUCAUGUUUUUCUUGGUGAAUUUUUGUCAUCUAUGUAGUUAUAUGUUAAAUUCUCUAUGAAAGCACACGGAAAUAUCAUCACAAACAAUUGAAGAAAAUAGUAGUAACAAAAGGGAAGAACUUUGAUGCAGCAAAAGCGUAUGAUAAUUAGCCUAAAUCAACUAAAACAUUUUUUUCCCAUUCUUUUUGUAGUUGUUUUAUAGCAUAAACAUCUAUCAUUCAAUGGAAAAGUACAUUUUACUUUCACUAGAGAGAAUUAUUGAAUAAUAUUUUAUGCAUUAUAUAUCCUCAUGUUAAUUACCAUGACUUGAAAGUUAAUUAAUGAUUGGGCAAGAUCUUCUGAUAGAGAUUGACCUAGAAAAAGAGUGAGUAAGAGCUUCUUUGUUCUGAAAGAAAUUGAGCGAGAGUGAGCAGGGCAUGAAAAUGGAGAAUAUUUCAUAGUACAUGUGUUUAAGAUGUAAUACACGUGUUCAUAUGAGAAGCUCAUGAAAGAGGCUUAUAAGAAAAAGCAUGAGGUUUUGCUUUGCAAUGAAAAUAAGUAAAAAGUAAAAUGUGGAUGUUGGCUCAGAGCCCGGUAUUGAUAUGUGUCUAUGCCCCUGCCAAUGGGACCUACCUAGUACAUAUACAUUGAAAACAAACUGUGUUUCUUUUCGUUCUUAUUUGUUACCUGGGUAAUCUUUUCUUAUGUGCUAGUUUCUUACCUUGGAAUAGUUAAUACCAUUUGGUGUAAAUUUGACAUAAGCAUUGAAUGAUAGCAUAGAGAUAUUCAUAACACGCUGCGAAAGAUAAUAAUAUUUUUAGGAAGAUUUUUUAUGUUUAAAAUUAAUUAACAUGUGAUAGAUCGUAUUUAAGAUAUGUAGGAAAUCAUUCUAUCCAUGAUAUGUGUGUUUUGGUUGUAUUAGCAUGAUUUCCAGGUA